AUUGAACGCUGGCGGCAGGCCUAACACAUGCAAGUCGAGCGGUAGCACAGAGAGCUUGCUCUCGGGUGACGAGCGGCGGACGGGUGAGUAAUGUCUGGGAAACUGCCUGAUGGAGGGGGAUAACUACUGGAAACGGUAGCUAAUACCGCAUAACGUCGCAAGACCAAAGUGGGGGACCUUCGGGCCUCAUGCCAUCAGAUGUGCCCAGAUGGGAUUAGCUAGUAGGUGGGGUAAUGGCUCACCUAGGCGACGAUCCCUAGCUGGUCUGAGAGGAUGACCAGCCACACUGGAACUGAGACACGGUCCAGACUCCUACGGGAGGCAGCAGUGGGGAAUAUUGCACAAUGGGCGCAAGCCUGAUGCAGCCAUGCCGCGUGUGUGAAGAAGGCCUUCGGGUUGUAAAGCACUUUCAGCGGGGAGGAAGGCGUUAAGGUUAAUAACCUUGGCGAUUGACGUUACCCGCAGAAGAAGCACCGGCUAACUCCGUGCCAGCAGCCGCGGUAAUACGGAGGGUGCAAGCGUUAAUCGGAAUUACUGGGCGUAAAGCGCACGCAGGCGGUCUGUCAAGUCGGAUGUGAAAUCCCCGGGCUCAACCUGGGAACUGCAUUCGAAACUGGCAGGCUAGAGUCUUGUAGAGGGGGGUAGAAUUCCAGGUGUAGCGGUGAAAUGCGUAGAGAUCUGGAGGAAUACCGGUGGCGAAGGCGGCCCCCUGGACAAAGACUGACGCUCAGGUGCGAAAGCGUGGGGAGCAAACAGGAUUAGAUACCCUGGUAGUCCACGCCGUAAACGAUGUCGAUUUGGAGGUUGUGCCCUUGAGGCGUGGCUUCCGGAGCUAACGCGUUAAAUCGACCGCCUGGGGAGUACGGCCGCAAGGUUAAAACUCAAAUGAAUUGACGGGGGCCCGCACAAGCGGUGGAGCAUGUGGUUUAAUUCGAUGCAACGCGAAGAACCUUACCUGGUCUUGACAUCCACAGAACUUUCCAGAGAUGGAUUGGUGCCUUCGGGAACUGUGAGACAGGUGCUGCAUGGCUGUCGUCAGCUCGUGUUGUGAAAUGUUGGGUUAAGUCCCGCAACGAGCGCAACCCUUAUCCUUUGUUGCCAGCGGUUAGGCCGGGAACUCAAAGGAGACUGCCAGUGAUAAACUGGAGGAAGGUGGGGAUGACGUCAAGUCAUCAUGGCCCUUACGACCAGGGCUACACACGUGCUACAAUGGCAUAUACAAAGAGAAGCGACCUCGCGAGAGCAAGCGGACCUCAUAAAGUAUGUCGUAGUCUGGAUUGGAGUCUGCAACUCGACUCCAUGAAGUCGGAAUCGCUAGUAAUCGUAGAUCAGAAUGCUACGGUGAAUACGUUCCCGGGCCUUGUACACACCGCCCGUCACACCAUGGGAGUGGGUUGCAAAAGAAGUAGGUAGCUUAACCUUCGGGAGGGCGCUUACCACUUUGUGAUUCAUGACUGGGGUGA
rnacentral:rRNA from 1 species